rnacentral:lncRNA from 1 species
UUUGAUUGACUUGGGAUUUGAGUGAGUACAAGACCAUGUGUAGGGGCAGUUGCAUGCUAGUAUAUUUGGAGUUCAGUCAAAGACUAGUCUUUCAGAACUUGAGGUACUCAACCUUCCCUGUUUGGACAGUAACCAGAACCCAGGGUGCGUUUGGGGGGGCUUUUCUGCUCCCCUGCUUAUAAGCACAUGACCUGUGUGCGUUUGGUAAACGUGCUUUUUCCCAGCUUUUGACAGAAGCCACUGCUUCUUUUGGUCGAAAAGCCGAAGCCAGCAACCCCAUGCUUUUAGAAGCAGGCACUGGCUUUUCCACUGUAGCGGUAGUUACUGUAGUUUAAUGAACAUUUCGAAAUACCGGAUUGUGUCCUCUCUUCCUUUCAGUAAUUACACCACACUGCCAUCAAACCCUUCUCUUCCGUGUUCAAAAGUGGAAGCCUCCAGCGCCGUGCAGUGAACAGGCACAGGACUUCACGCUGACUGCUCCUCUCAUUCUUGUUCGAAUCCUCAAUCCAAUCCCCGGAUUUUCGUACCAGGCUCUGAAAAUCGAAAGCUUUCCUGAAAAGUUUUGACUUCUCAGUUUGUUUUCAGAAAGAUUUUCCUGAAAUAUUAGGUACUAAAGCUUGGGCUACUUUUGAUUGCGAAGACAGUUCCAUUUUGCUGAUCAACCAAGAAGCUUCUCCCAUUUCUAGAGGGGCAGAGAAGAAGUUAGACAAGGAACUUUCAGUGCUUGAAUGGGGUUCAAAGACUUGUCAAGUUGAAGUUAUCACAAAGGUAGUUUGAUGGUGUCGGUUUUAGAUGGAAACCAUUAUGAAGUCGUAUUAGCACCGUCUUCGUUGAUGAUGCAAUGUAAAAUAUGAUGCUUGUGAAAAAUGUAAAAUAUGGUGUUUGUGAAAAAUGCGGUGUGUCAUAAACUGAUGAUGCAUCAUCUUAGUUGAUGAUGCAAUGUAAAAUAUGAUGCUGCUUUUGUGUUUGAAGGAUUAUGUUAUAUAAGUUGUAAAAGUGUCAUCUUUGUUGAUGAUGCAAUGUUAACUUUUAUGCUUGUGUAAAGUUGUUUAUGAAAGGUAAAUAUGUUUGUUUGGCUUCUCUAUAACUUUACUGAAGAUUUGAUUCUAUACUUUUGUGUAUCAUAG